AUGAACGCUGGCGGCGUGCCUAAUACCUGCAAGUCGAGCGCACAGACGAGGAGCUUGCUCCUCUGACGUUAGCGGCGGACGGGUGAGUAACACGUGGAUAACCUACCUAUAAGACUGGGAUAACUUCGGGAAACCGGAGCUAAUACCGGAUAAUAUAUUGAACCGCAUGGUUCAAUAGUGAAAGACGGUUUUGCUGUCACUUAUAGAUGGAUCCGCGCCGCAUUAGCUAGUUGGUAAGGUAACGGCUUACCAAGGCAACGAUGCGUAGCCGACCUGAGAGGGUGAUCGGCCACACUGGAACUGAGACACGGUCCAGACUCCUACGGGAGGCAGCAGUAGGGAAUCUGCCGCAAUGGGCGAAAGCCUGACGGAGCAACGCCGCGUGAGUGAUGAAGGUCUUCGGAUCGUAAAACUCUGUUAUUAGGGAAGAACAAAUGUGUAAGUAACUAUGCACGGCUUGACGGUACCUAAUCAGAAAGCCACGGCUAACUACGUG
rnacentral:rRNA from 1 species